ACCAAUCACGUUUAACGUUUCUUUGGAACUUUUAAAAACUCGAAUUUCAUUGGCCGAGUACCCGCAACCCAAUGCGCAGAAGAACGACGCCGAGAACGAGGCGUCCUUCGUUCGGCGGCAAUUGAACAGAGCAGACGUGUCGUGUCGAUCAGUGAUCCAGCAAUUAAUAGAUCUGACGCCAUGAGUCUGCGCGAUGAUCGCCAACCGCCAUUUCACGUUCAAAUGGCUACUUUACGUUGAAUAUUUCGAGCGAAAUUACUGGAUACGUCAUAUCAGAAAAGUUGUGCAGCUUACCGGGGAAAGCAGAAUAAUAGAUUCUAUACAUCAUGAAACAAAUGAACUUUGAAGUUCAACGUAAGGAAAGCAGAGCAACUCCGAAGUUCUACAUGGAUAAUGCAGAGCUACUCCGAUGAUCAGCAACAGCAGAGCUACUCCGAUGAUCAGCGACAGCAG